CACACAGCCUGUGGGACGUCAGCAACGUUUCCAGCCACAGAAAGCGGGAAGCAUAUCACAAGGAAUACAGGUUAAGGUGCAAGGCGAAACAUCCCAAAACAGGGUUUUUUGUUUUUUUUUAACAAAAAAAAAAAUUAUUGUUGUUGUUUUAUGAUCUCACAAAACACCCGCAGAAAAGAACAGCAACAGCAGCAACAGCCACACUUAGUGACGGAGGAAGAAACUGAAGCAGAGAAUGUUUCCUCUUUGGGGCGCACUCUCUGCUCCCUGCCAAAGACAGAGGACAAAUUUUGCCCAAGCGAGGGAAGCAGGGAUGCAACAGGUAGCUUUUGUUACGUAGCACAUGCAGGGGGUGGUUAGCCCAGUUCUUAAAAACAUCAAAAUGAAAGAGAGAGAGAGAAAGGGGGGUGGGGGGGUGGGAGAAUCACCCCAAACUUAGAAAACAUGGUUUCAAAGAGGUUGCAGCAAUUACAUUUUUUACGGCACUUUGUGAAAACUCUGCAUGCACCAGGUGGGGAGAGGUGAAGAAGUGAGGUGGGGUGUGGAAAGCGCUGGCCACUUAACAUCCCCCCACCCCCAAUCAUGCCAUGUCCCCAUCCCCCUCCUCCUUUAAAAGCAGCAACCUAACUGUGGAGUGCAAAAGAACAAACAAUCUGAAAGCGGGAUCCAUUGGUAACAAUUCAAGUCCUGGAGGUUUGGUGUUGGUUUUAAAGCAUGGGCUGUUGUGGUGGUGGUUUUGUCAAAGCUCCAAGCUUCUUUCCGGUUCUCUUGUCCCGCACGUUCCCCGUCCUGCAAAUGCCCAAGUCGCAGUGCUGGUGUCGGAAGUGAGAAUCUACUCCAAGCAGAAAGAGUCAGACGGGGUGAAGAGACACCAAGAAAAACUCAAAAUGUCCUUCCGGUUUUGGUUUUGGUUUUGGAAAUGCAUUUUCAUGCAGAAGCUGAGAAAGCGGUGAGGCAAGCGACAAUCCUCUACGAGGAACUUCGAUGAAGGCUGGUAGGUGAGUUCGCCAUGCAGGCACUUGGUUAAGCAAUGUUGGCUUUCGGUCUUGGUGCUUCUGUUCGGGAGCAGGUGCCCAGGGCAAAACAAUGCCAACCUUGAAGGAUUCAAAGCAGAGAGGAAGGGGGGAAGACAGAUGGGAGGAGGGAGGGAGGGAUGAAGAGGGGAAGAUGGGAGGGAGAGAGAUGGAUGGGAGGGAGGGAGGAAGUUGUAUGGAUGAGAGGAAGGGAGGAAGCAAGGCAGCAGGAUGGAUGAGAGGAAGGAAGGAUCACUGAGCCCACAAUCUGCAUUAUUCGUGUUUGAAAGAUCAACCAGCUCCACCCACGUUAAGUAGAGCAGCAGACAAGUUGCUCAGAGGCCAUCUGAGAUACAGCAUUGUGUCAUGAAUUUCCACCUCCUCUUUGUGCACACUGUCAGGCUGGGUGCAUUCCCAUAGCAGUUGUUAGCCUCGUGGUUAAAGAAUACAGACUCAGAAUCAAAUUGCAAAGCACCUAACUGGGUUCCGUUCUGAGUGGCCUGUUGGCUUGCAUAGCUUUCAGAUGGGUUAACAUUCUGCCCUAUGGGAUAUGGUGAAGCAGGGUAAGGCAGGAGGGGAGAGAUAAGGCCUUAAAAAAAGAGAAGAAAAUUGAACUUGAUGUUGGAAGCACAUACAGUCCAAAAGUCUCACCCCACAAGCGUUGCCUUUCCUUGGGGAGUUCCACAAAAACUACAAAUUCCUUGUGUGUCCAAUCACACUUGGCCAAUAAAAAAAAUUCUGCUAUUAUAAAGAGUUGUGCAGCUCUAUGGGAGAGACGGGAUCUUUUGCUGUGGCUGAUGUUGAAAGCUCACUUUGGCACUCGAAGAUACAACUCUGAAGUGACAGGUUAUGGUUUGGAGACAACUUUAUGGCACAGGCUUCCUUCUGAACAGCCAAAAUCGGUUUGCGAGGGGUCAGCACAGGCCAGGACAUUUCCUAUCCAAGGUGUUUGUUGCAGGAAGGAAAAUUCACAGCCACGAGUAAAAGGACUGGUUUGUUUUUUUCCCUAGAAAAUCAGGAUCCAUUUCUAUAGACAAACAGCGAAGUGCGUUUUAAUGUUCUGAUCUCAAAGCAAGCUGGAGAAACGGGCUUGGUUUACGUCCAUCUUCCCUGUCAUGCUGGAUAGAAAAACAACAUAAGGCUUGAAAAGGCAUCGGAGUUACACAACUGCGGGAAAUGAAACUAUCAUUCCUUCACUAUACAGCACGAAGAUUCUGGCCGCCCCUGGGAAACUCAGCCACCUGGAAAUCUUCUCGAUAUAAUGCCAAUUUGAGUUUUUGUGAUGAUCAAGCGAUCUACUGUUAAUAUUCCCAAAAUGUUGGACAGAGAUAAAGGAGGGAAAAUGAUGUAAACAGUGAGAAUUUGAGUGUAUGUUUUGGCAAUAGACUCAGCAUCGUAUAAAAAUACUUGAUAAUAAAAAAAUUUAUCCAUAUAUUAAAAAAAUCAGGACAUGAAUUGAUAGCAGAGUUCUUUUUUUUGUUGUUUGUGCUUGCAGGGCAGACAAAGACACUUCCUUUUACACACACCCUGUUCAUCAGAAAUGCAGCGUUCUUUAAAUUAAAAAGGAGGGGGAAAAUCACCACAUACGAAAUAUAUCAGAAGCAAUUCCAUCAAUCACAAUUCAUCAAAAAAAAAAAAAGCAGGCUUUUAUCAUCAGCAGCUCUCCGUAUUUCUAUAUCAGGAUAAAAGUGCACAGAAUUGUAAUCCACCACGAGGCUGUGAGCGAAAAUGAAAUGGUAUGCUUGGUGAACAUCAACAAAACCCCAAAACCCAGACAUUUUCAAACUAGAGAUCUGGACCACGACCAAGUCAAGUCAAGAGCAUUCUUGGUUUCCUUUCCUUUUUCCUUUUCUUUUCUGUUUGAAAGGUGGAAAAAAAAAAUGUCAUCGUUUUGCAGCAUUGAAGUAAGGCACUCGCCCACGGUGUGUUUCUGCUGCUUAAGGGGGCAGCAGCCAACUCACUUUUUAAACAGACGGAAGACAAGUUUCCUUUCGUGGUAAGUGCUGCAGGUACCUUACACCAUUAUUAUAUAGAAGGAGAAGGGAAAAAUUCACAUUUUUUUCCUCUUCUGUGGAGAAGGGGUAACUGUGUUAAAAUUCAUCUAUAAACUACUGGCUUCUUUUCUUCUUUGCCAAUUAAAGCAUUUUGUAUCCUAAAAUAUUAGUUUUUAUAAAUCUAGUCAUCUGUUUUAAGGCUGUACAAGUCCCAACUCCCCACCCUCCACCCCACCCUGAACCAAUAAGAAACAGCAUUUUUGAUUGGGGCAUUAAAAGGACUGGAACUCUUCUUAUUUCACAGUCAGAAGUCUAAUAUUGCGUCUCCUGUCUCUCUGCCCACCAUCCCAGUGAUGAAAACCUGUGGGGUUUUGUUUUGUUUUUUUUAAUUGAAGGACAGAUUCCCUCCCACGGUUUCAAAUAUUUUGCAUUUGUUUGGUCAGGUAACUGGAAAGCCUGAAAAACAAGAAAGUCUCUCUUGUUUUAAUACUACAAAGGUGUGUCCAUCCAGUUACGCAGUUCUCCUGCGUUGACCCUGGAAAACAAGGGUUGUUUCCUACAAGUGUUUUGUCCGCGGCCUGCAGUGAUCUCUCCAUUGGAUAACCACAAGGUGCUCCAAUGCUUCUUCUUCUUCUUCUUCUUUCUCUUCUUUCUUUCUUCCUCUCUUUCUUUCUUCCUCUCUUUUUUUUGUAUGGCUCCUACCAAUCAGAAAGCUUUCUGGAGUGAGGUAAAAAUGUUGGGUUUUCAAGCAAAGUACAUGGUACGUAAAGUGUCCUGAUGAACUUGCACAGCCUUGGCGAGGGCUUGAGGGUCUCGGCCGUUGCUCUGGCCGGAGAUGUGACUGCCUUCUCCACUAAAAGCACAGAGGAAAAGGGAUGGGGGGAUUAAAACAGAGCGUUCAUUAGGAAGACGAAAGGCAUGAGGAUGGCAGAUUUCUCUUGGCAGGGAAAUCACGGUCAGCAUAAAAUGGCACAGCUUUUAUUCCAGGGGACUUUAAGACUCCAACUCCCAGAAUUCCCCAGCCAGCAUCUUAAAGUUGCCAUGGUUGGAAACUCUGCUCUAGACAAACUGUACACCCCUGCUAGAUGAAAAGGUUUUUUUCCUCCUCCAGAAGUCUAAGGGCAUUGGAGACAAACUAGGGCAGGGGUGUCACACUCAAUUUCAUUGAUGGCCAAUCAGGGCUGUGGUUGGCCUCUGGGGGCCGGGUGGGCAUGGCUGACCAGGUAGGCGUGGCCAGCUUGACGCCACUCCCCAAACUGCUGGCAUGCUUCCUCUUUGCACUGGGUAGACCAGGCCGCAGCGAUGCAGGACGGCCCCGUGGCCUUC
ensembl:lncRNA